UUUCCGUUGGUGAACCAGCGGAGGGAUCAUUACCGAGUUUACAACUCCCAAACCCCUGUGAACAUACCAUUUGUUGCCUCGGCGGUGCCUGCUUCGGCAGCCCGCCAGAGGACCCAAACCCUUGAUUUUAUACAGUAUCUUCUGAGUAAAUGAUUAAAUAAAUCAAAGCUUUCAACAACGGAUCUCUUGGUUCUG
rnacentral:misc_RNA from 1 species